rnacentral:lncRNA from 1 species
UGUCGCUCCUUCUCCAGGUUAUUGGUUCGGUGUUUCUUCACCAUAAUUGGCAUUGAGUUGCCCUCUUGGGGAUGUGGUUUUUUUGUGAUUUUUGUUUUGUUGGAUUUUUUCUUUUGGUUUAUUUUUGGUAGGCUGUGGUUUGUUUGGUGAUAAUGAUGGUGUGUGUUGGAUUGAUUGUGUUGAGGGUGUUUCAACUAGGUUAGAGGGUUUUUUUUUUGUUCAUUCAAUGGUCGGGGCCUUGGUGGCAUGCGUUGAUUGGGAAUGGGGGUUUUUAGCUGCUUUUUAGGUAGCAGGGGGCUAUGUGCUUGGUUUUGAUGGUGAAGCUAGGGUUUGCUAGGCGUGGAGGUGGUUGGUUAGGUGCAAGCAAGGGACUCGGGUCCAGGGUGAUAGAAGAGAGGAAGGCCCGUGUGUUGGUAGAGGGAGAAGGCUUUUGGUGUCAAGUUGGGGCUGUUACUAGAGCUAAGCUCCUCUAUUAGGACUGUGAAAAGUGUUGAAAAAGGUUUGAAGAAAAGGGGUGGGAUGGUUCAAUGGAGUUUCUUGUGUGUUCCUCUUCUGAUAGGUGCUGGCCUCUUCCCUUGAUUUUUAAUCUAACCAUUUGUAAUCAGUCCAAAACUUUAAGAAUCAUAAUGUGGUGGAGCAUGGCACUGGGUAGUACACGGUAGUGGAACAUGGUGUUGGGGCUGGCUUGUUUUGUGUAGUGACCAAACAGAAUUGGUAGUGGUUGUCAGCCACUCAUUGUAUUUUUUGUUGUU